rnacentral:rRNA from 1 species
UACGUAGGGCGCGAGCGUUGUCCGGAUUUAUUGGGCGUAAAGAGCUCGUAGGCGGCUUGUUGCGUCGGCUGUGAAAACCCGUGGCUUAACUGUGGGCGUGCGGGCGAUACGGGCAGACUGGAGUACUGCAGGGGAGACUGGAAUUCCUGGUGUAGCGGUGGAAUGCGCAGAUAUCAGGAGGAACACCGGUGGCGAAGGCGGGUCUCUGGGCAGUAACUGACGCUGAGGAGCGAAAGCGUGGGGAGCGAACAGG